rnacentral:tRNA from 9 species
AAGGAGAGAGAGGGAUUCGAACCCUCGAUAGUUCA